rnacentral:rRNA from 1 species
GAUGAACGCUAGCGGCAGGCCUAAUACAUGCAAGUCGAACGAUAUUUUCCAGCUUGCUGGGAGAGAAAGUGGCGCACGGGUGCGUAACGCGUAUGCAACCUACCUUUAUCAGGGGGAUAGCCCGGAGAAAUCCGGAUUAAUACCGCAUAAAAUCACAGAACGGCAUUGUUCAAUGAUCAAACAUUUAUGGGAUAAAGAUGGGCAUGCGUGUCAUUAGCUAGUUGGCGGGGUAACGGCCCACCAAGGCGACGAUGACUAGGGGAUCUGAGAGGAUGGCCCCCCACACUGGUACUGAGACACGGACCAGACUCCUAGGGGGUGCAGCAGGAAGGAAUAUUGGUCAAUGGAGGCAACUCUGAACCCGCCAUGCCGCGUGCAGGAGGACCGCCCUAUGGGUUGUAAACUGCUUUUAUCCGGGAAUAAACCUCCGAUCGUGAUCGGAGCUGAAUGUACCGGAAGAAUAAGGAUCGGCUAACUCCGUGCCAGCCACCGCCGUAA